rnacentral:rRNA from 1 species
GACGAACGCUGGCGGCGUGCUUAACACAUGCAAGUCGAACGGAAAGGCUCCUGCUUGCAGGGGUACUCGAGUGGCGAACGGGUGAGUAACACGUGGGUGAUCUGCCUUGUACUCUGGGAUAAGCUUGGGAAACUGGGUCUAAUACCGGAUAAUAACUGCCUUUAGUGUGGUGGUUGGAAAGUUUUUUCGGUGCAAGAUGAGCUCGCGGCCUAUCAGCUUGUUGGUGGGGUAAUGGCCUACCAAGGCGUCGACGGGUAGCCGGCCUGAGAGGGUGUACGGCCACAUUGGGACUGAGAUACGGCCCAGACUCCUACGGGAGGCAGCAGUGGGGAAUAUUGCACAAUGGGCGGAAGCCUGAUGCAGCGACGCCGCGUGGGGGAUGACGGCCUUCGGGUUGUAAACUCCUUUCGACAGGGACGAAGCUUUUUGUGACGGUACCUGUAUAAGAAGCACCGGCUAACUACGUG